CUUUGACCCGUCUUAAGCACGGACCAAGGAGUCUAACAUGUGCGCAAGUCAUUGGGUGUACGAAACCUAAAGGCGCAAUGAAAGUAAAGACCUAUCAGUAGGUGGGUUUAGGCAGGAUCCCGGCUCCCCCGUGGGCUGGGCGCACCGCCGGCCCGUCUCGACUGCCACGUCAGUGAGGCGGAGCAAGAGCGUACACGUUGGGACCCGAAAGAUGGUGAACUAUGCCUGAGUAGGUUGAAGUCAGAGGAAACUCUGAUGGAGGACCGUAGCGAUUCUGACGUGCAAAUCGAUCGUCGAACU
rnacentral:rRNA from 1 species